UACGUAGGGUGCAAGCGUUGUCCGGAAUUAUUGGGCGUAAAGAGCUCGUAGGCGGUCUGUCGCGUCGGCUGUGAAAUCCCGAGGCUCAACCUCGGGUCUGCAGUCGAUACGGGCAGACUAGAGGUAUGCAGGGGAGAACGGAAUUCCUGGUGUAGCGGUGAAAUGCGCAGAUAUCAGGAGGAACACCGGUGGCGAAGGCGGUUCUCUGGGCAUGAUCUGACGCUGAGGAGCGAAAGUGUGGGGAGCGAACAGG
rnacentral:rRNA from 1 species